rnacentral:rRNA from 1 species
GGUGAACGCUGGCGGCGUGCCUAAUACAUGCAAGUCGAGCGAACAGACGAUGAGCUUGCUCCUUUGACGUUAGCGGGGGACGGGCGAGUAACACGUGGAUAACCUUCUUCUUAGACUUGGGUAACUUCGGGAAACAGGAGAUACUACCAGAUCAUAUAUUCAACGGCAUAGAUCAAUAGUGCAUGACGGUUUUGCUGUCUCAUUUAGACGGAUCCGCGCCGGAUUAGCUAGUUGGUAAGGUAACGGCCUACCAAGGCGACGAUGCGUAGCCGACCUGAGAGGAUGAUCAGCCACACUGGAACUGAGACACGGUCCAGACUCCUACGGGAGGCAGCAGUGGGGAAUCUUGCACAAUGGGCGAAAGCCUGACGCAGCAACGCCGCGUGAGUGAUGAAGGUCUUCGGAUCGUAAAACUCUGUUGUUAGGAAAGAACAAAUGCGUAAUUAACUACGCAUGUCUUGACGGUACCUAAACAGAAAGCCACGGCUAACUACGUG